GAUGAACGCUGGCGGCGUGCCUAAUACAUGCAAGUCGAGCGAACAGAUGAGGAGCUUGCUCCUCUGACGUUAGCGGCGGAAGGGUGAGUAACACGUGGAUAACCUACCUAUAAGACUGGGAUAACUUCGGGAAACCGGAGCUAAUACCGGAUAAUAUAUUGAACCGCAUGGUUCAAUAGUGAAAGACGGUUUUGCUGUCACUUAUAGAUGGAUCCGCGCCGCAUUAGCUAGUUGGUAAGGUAACGGCUUACCAAGGCGACGAUGCGUAGCCGACCUGAGAGGGUGAUCGGCCACACUGGAACUGAGACACGGUCCAGACUCCUACGGGAGGCAGCAGUAGGGAAUCUUCCGCAAUGGGCGAAAGCCUGACGGAGCAACGCCGCGUGAGUGAUGAAGGUCUUCAGAUCGUAAAACUCUGUUAUUAGGGAAGAACAAAUGUGUAAGUAACUAUGCACGUCUUGACGGUACCUAAUCAGAAAGCCACGGCUAACUACGUG
rnacentral:rRNA from 1 species